AUUGAACGCUGGCGGCAGGCCUAACACAUGCAAGUCGCGCGAGCGGCGGACGGGUGAGUAAUGUCUGGGGAUCUGCCUGAUGGAGGGGGAUAACUACUGGAAACGGUAGCUAAUACCGCAUACCAUCAGAUGAACCCAUAUGGGAUUAGCUAGUAGGUAGGGUAAUGGCUUACCUAGGCGACGAUCCCUAGCUGGUCUGAGAGGAUGACCAGCCACACUGGGACGUAGACACGGCCCAGACUCCUACGGGAGGCAGCAGUGGGGAAUAUUGCACAAUGGGCGCAAGCCUGAUGCAGCCAUGCCGCGUGUAUGAAGAAUGCCUUCGGGUUGUAAAGUACUUUCAGUCGGGAGGCGUUACCGACAGAAGAAGCACCGGCUAACUCCGUGCCAGCAGCCGCGGUAAUUC
rnacentral:rRNA from 1 species